AUGUGCAAGAAAUCAAAUUUCAAAUUUUGGAAAAAAGUUAGACAAAAAUGUAUUGUCGUUGCAACUUUUGUUAAUUGCGUUUGUUUCACUUUAAUUUGUGUUUUAGGACGCCGAAAAGUAUUCUGUCCGUUUGAGCGUGCUCUCGAAGAUUUAGAGAUCUGGAUUCAGCGUUUUUAUACUGCCUUUCAUGUGACAAAUGGAUUUCAAGAACGGACCUCCACUUAUGAAAGUGUUUUUUCCUAGGUAAGUUCAAUUCCCACCUUCCGCUAACACUCGAUAAAACAAGUAUUUCCCAGCAUUUUUACAAAAGAACAGAUUUAUACCAACUUGAUCACUUUUUUUCGUUUCAUUGUGCUUAUGUGGAGUGAACUCUAAGGCGCUGGUUCU
rnacentral:lncRNA from 1 species